rnacentral:lncRNA from 1 species
UUGGCGGCGGGUCGUCUGACACCAAGACCAUGUUUAUCGGUAUUGCUCUACCCAACUUGGUCCACUGCCACAUAGAUAAAUGAAAUUAAAGAAAAAAAACAAUUCAAGUGGUUGGAUUAAGAGAGUUCGACCAGCUCAAAAAUGAGACCACCAUUGGUCUCUCUCCCCUAUAAAUAGAUCAAUAGCAAUGAGACACUUGUCCAUAUUUUAUUUGUUUUGAAGAUUUUAUUUGGAUAAUACUUAAAAUUAUUACUCCCUUCGUCCUGGGAAUCUUGAGGCAAUUCUUUUCAGCCCGAGAAUUAAGAAAAUAGUAUUUAGUGUGUUAAGUGUGGUAGGUAAAAAAGUGAAAAUGUGAAUAAAGGGAAUUUUUUUUUGCCAUAUAAGGAAAUGACUCAAGAUUCGUGGGACGAUCGAAAAAAGAAAGCGACUCAAGAUUCGUGGGACGGAGGGAGUAUAUCUUUUAUAUAAAGUAUUUUUUUAAUUCUUUAUAAAUAGAGAUCACUUUUGCUAUAUUUCAACACCUUCAAACUCUUUCAUUUUCUCCCUCUACAUAGAACAUCUAGUAUUUUCCCCACUUUUGUAAUUUAUAUUUUUAGUUUGUCGUAAUUUAUAUUUUUAUUAGUUUAUUAUUUUUUCCAUUUUUUUUGCAAUAUUUUAAUUUCUUUUAAUAUUACAAACGUCUUCAUACGACAGAUCUUAAAACGAAUGAUACGAAUUCGUACCAUUUCACUAAUUAUAUUUUUAUAAAACUCGAUAUGAUAAACUUUAAACUCAAGGAUCCAAUAUAUCAAAAUAUAAAUGGAAAAAUUAUAUUUUGGUUGAUGACAUUUAAAUAAGGGUUAAUUGGUUAUAAAUAAUUUGAACUUCAAUAAAAUUUAAAUUUUACAUACAAAUUUUAAAUUUUAGCAUGAUAAUUACUGAAUUAUUAAUUUAAAUUAAUUUUGCUUACCAACUUUAGACUUUGGAUUUCGGCUAUAUAUCAAUUAGGACUUCAACCAAAUUUAUUAUUGAAAUGACUAAAGGAUAUUAUCUUGCCAACCAAUUACUACGCGAAAACGAUGAUGUUGAUACUAGUAUUAAUUUUACUAACGCUAACUUUGACCAAAAUUCUGAUUAAUAAUAAAUUCAAAUUAAAUCAAUAUAUUUCAAUUAUUAACAUACCAAACACUAAAAUUUGUAGGAGUACAUAAAACUAAAAAUUGAUAAAAGUUUGAUAACUUUAUAGGCCCACUAAAUACACAACUGUGCAUGGGCAUGCACGACGAAGUCCAUAAUGGACGUCAUCUCACGUUUGCGUCACUGCACAAACUCCCUAACCAUUAAUUAGGUACCCUAAUCCCUACACCCAACGACCCUAAUUCUCUUUUUUACUAUAUCAAAACAUCUAUGAUGCCGCAUUAACCCACAAACUAGUAUAAUAAGAAAAUUUUUAAUUUAUUUACUUUUUUUUCUUUUAAUAAAAAUGAAAUUUAAUUAUUUUAUUAUAUUUUCUAUAUUUUUUUUAUUUUUUAUUUUUAAUAAAAAUAAAAAAGUUACAAAAAAUAACUACAAUGUAGAUAAUAUGAUAAAAUAACUAAAUCUUAUUUAUAUUUUAAAAAAUAAAUUAAAUAAAUUUAAUUAUUUUCUAUUUAGGUAAAUUGUGGGUGACCACAAUGUGGCUAUUUAGCAUUACGUACUCUUUUUAUAUUUUUAGCAAUUUUAGCAAUGUCCUUUUUGUAUAAUCACAGUAAUUUAGAUUAUUCCAAACUAUGGAGCAUAGUGUCUUUAUUUAUUUAUUUAUUUAUUUAUUUAUUUUUUUGAGGCGGAGCAUAGGUUGUUCAUCACAAAUACUUUAGAGUGUAAAAUACAUUGUGAAAUAUAAAUGAGACGAAUUUUUAAAUUAUUGCCACACUAAUAGCUCUCCCUUGCUUCAUCUCUACAUGUCAGCAUCGGCUUUUCAAAAGUAUAAGUACAUGUUCUAUCUAUUUUGUCACAUUUAAUUAAUUUUUUGUUCCAAACAUACACUUUCCCCCCCAAAAAAAUAUACCUUUCGUUGAGACACGAUCUUCACACUUUUGGUUUUGGAAUAAAAUUACUUUCAAAUACACUAUAAUCAAGGUUAUACUCCAAAUUAUAAAACCUUUUACUAUAUUGAUUUCGAUUAGCUAUUCUAACUUAUAUAUAGACUAAAACUCUUACAUUCUAGCCAAAAGUUUUGUUGUUUUCCUUACAAAAAUAUAAAGAAGUACGUACAUGAUUCACAUUCACACGAUUCAUACAGACCAUUCAUGUGAUUGAUUAUUGACUGCUUAAAGAUAGAAAGUAGGGUCCAUUUGGAAGGGAAUAUAAGCAUAGGGGUCUCGAAUGAAUUUUUGUAUGAGGACUAGAAAUAGGAAUUUUCCUAUUUAUCAAACGUUUGACCCCAUUUUCUUUUUCCUCUUUCUUUUUGCAUCGUUGCUUUUAUUAAUUUAUGCCAAAAUAUGGCGUGGUAUAUAGAUAUUAUUAUGCGCUAAAUCCAACUUCGUACGCGUCUAUUCAGUGUAUGUGUUGAGACGGACACUAGAAUCUAUAUAAUACUCCUUAGAAAAAACAUCUUGUGCGUCUUUAGCCCUAUUUAAAUAUGUAUUCUUUUGCAGUAGCAUUGUUAAAAUCUAUUCCAUCGUUGGAGAUAAAAUCUCACAAAUAUUCUUUAAGUCAAGUCUACCGAAUGAGUAUGAUCGGCAUCUUGUGUGGUUUGCAACUAUCACGCAAUUUAGAUCUGAACAAUUAUACAUAUAGAGAUAUAUUCCGUUAAAAAUGUUAAAUGCGCUGAAAAUUGAAAAUACACACAUAAAUAAUUCAAUAAUUUUUACAAAUAAAUUAAUAUGUAAUGCAUGAAUAGGCAUUUUCAUAUAGGUUCAAAUCUUGGAUGGAGCAAAAUUUUCACCAUAUUAACUGUAUAUGACUAUUCGUGAGUUAUAUUGAUUUAUUUAUUAUUAUCAUUUCUCACGAAAAAUAUAAACCUCACUAGAACCAUACCCUAAGGGUGUGUUUUCUUUGAGGUAUAAGGGAGGGAUAAGCUACAUUUAUCACCUUAUACUUUAUUUGCUUUGAUGUAAAAAAAAAAUUCGAGCAGGUUGUAUAAUUUUUCGGGCAAUCCCUUAUCCAUUGGGAAAUGGAUAAUUUUAUACCUAAGAGAUAUGGUGGUAAAAUUUUAUACCACCUUAUAAGGAGUGAAUAAAUAUAUUAUCAUUCAAAGCAAAUAAGAUAUAACAAAUAUGAUCCCCACUUUAAGUGAUAAACUUAUACCUCAUUAUAUUAUCCUUCCAUUUAGAGGGAUAACAACCAAAUUAAUACACCCUAUAUAGAUAAUUUUAUUUAAUGAUCAAUAACUCUAGUACUACAAAUAGUAAGGCGCGUUAUCUUUGAUUGUAAAUUUAUCAUAAAAAAUGUGAAAUAAAAGGUGGAAAAAGAUUUUCACAAUUAAAAUAUUAUCAUAGCACUAACUCAUUAUAAUAUGAGGAAAUGAUUAAAAUAACCAUUUUAUUGAAAAAAAAUCAAUGAUAACCAUAAAAUAAAAAUAUAUUGAUUAUAAAUAUUUUUAUAAAAAUAUCCUUGUAUUUUAAAAUUUAUCAAUAACUUAAAAUAAAAAACUUGAAAUUCAUUUAUAAAAUUUAAAAUUUGAAAACACAAAGGAAAGAAAAAAAAAAAAAAAAUCAAAACUCCAGUCCAAUCCCCAUUAUCUCCAUUUUCUACUUAUACGAGCUCGCCGCAGCCAGCACGCACCUACAUCACCGUCGCUUGCACCAAUUAACAGCCUUUUGUUAUCAAUUUUCAAAAUAAAAGUCAAAACAAAAUCACGACGAAAUAAUCGAAAGGGAUUGGAUUGCAGUUACAAAAAAGAAGGAAAAUGGGGCGUGGUUACAUAUGCAGCGGUGAUGGAAUAAGGAAAUGACGAACCAAAGAUAAUUGCAGAGAAGAAUAAAAUGAAGGAAUCAUAUUUUGAGGUAUGAUUUACGUGCUCGUGAUCUAUUUCGAAUAUCAAACAAAUACAUACAAAAAUCAACGUGUCUAUUACAGGAGAACGAAUCUUACUUGCAAAUCCGGCGAUGAGCGACUCCAGAGCGAAUCUUCCGACUUGUUUCCCACGGCAAGACUUGACGUUGGAUGACAACGAGCUUCAAGUCAUCUCCUUUCCGUAGGCGCCGAUCUUCUCUCUCACUUUCUGUUCUCACAUAAUUCUCUCUUUUAUGGUUUCAC